GACGAACGCUGGCGGCGUGCUUAACACAUGCAAGUCGAACGGUGAAGCGCCUUCCUUUUUGGUGGGUGUGGAUGAGUGGCGAACGGGUGAGUAACACGUGAGUAACCUGCCCCCUUCUUCUGGAUAACCGCAUGAAAGUGUGGCUAAUACGGGAUAUUCUGGGUCUGUCGCAUGAUGGGUCUGGGAAAGAUAUUGUUUCGGUGGGGGAUGGGCUCGCGGCCUAUCAGCUUGUUGGUGGGGUGAUGGCCUACCAAGGCGGUGACGGGUAGCCGGCCUGAGAGGGUGGACGGUCACACUGGGACUGAGACACGGGCCAGACUCCUACGGGAGGCAGCAGUGGGGAAUAUUGCACAAUGGGCGCAAGGCUGAUGCAGCGACGCCGCGUGAGGGAUGGAGGCCUUCGGGUUGUGAACCUCUUUCGCCAGUGAAGCAGGCCUGCCUCGUUUGUGGGUGGGUUGACGGUAGCUGGAUAAGAAGCGCCGGCUAACUACGUG
rnacentral:rRNA from 1 species